CCUACGGGAGGCAGCAGUGAGGAAUAUUGGUCAAUGGACGAGAGUCUGAACCAGCCAAGUAGCGUGAAGGAUGACUGCCCUAUGGGUUGUAAACUUCUUUUAUAUGGGAAUAAAAUGUUCCACGGGGGGGAUUUUGUAUGUACCAUAUGAAUAAGGAUCGGCUAACUCCGUGCCAGCAGCCGAGGUAAUACGGAGGAUCCGAGCGUUAGCCGGAUUUAUUGGGUUUAAGGGGAGCGUAGGUGGAUUGGUAAGUCAGUUGUGAAAGUUUGCGGCUCAACCGUAAAAUUGCAGUUGAAACUGGCAGUCUUGCGUACAGUAGAGGUGGGCGGAAUUCGUGGUGUAGCGGUGAAAUGCUUAGAUAUCACGAAGAACUCCGAUUGCGAAGGCAGUUCACUGGACUGCAACUGACACUGAGGCUCGAAAGUGUGGGUAUCAAACAGGAUUAGAUACCCCAGUAGUC
rnacentral:rRNA from 1 species